rnacentral:rRNA from 1 species
UACGGAGGGUGCAAGCGUUAAUCGGAAUCACUGGGCGUAAAGCGCACGUAGGCGGUCGAGUCAGUCUGUCGUGAAAGCCCCGGGCUUAACCUGGGAACGGCGAUGGAUACUGCUCAACUAGAGUGUGAAAGAGGGGGGUGGAAUUCCAGGUGUAGCGGUGAAAUGCGUAGAGAUCUGGAGGAACACCAGUGGCGAAGGCGGCCCCCUGGUUCAACACUGACGCUGAGGUGCGAGAGCGUGGGGAGCAAACAGG